rnacentral:rRNA from 1 species
AGCGAACGCUGGCGGCAUGCUUAACACAUGCAAGUCGCACGGGCAGGGGAAACUCUGUCAGUGGCGGACGGGUGAGUAACGCGUAGGUAUCUAUCCUUGGGUGGGGACGAACGGCUGGAAACGGGACUGCUAAUAACCGCAUGAUGUCUGAGGACUAAAGGACGCGAGUCGCCUGAGGAGGAGCCUGCGUACGAUUAGCUAGUUGGUGGGGUAAAGGCCUACCAAGGCNGUGAUCGUUAGCUGGUCUGAGAGGAUGAUCAGCCACAUUGGGACUGAGACACGGCCCAAACUCCUACGGGAGGCAGCAGUGGGGAAUAUUGGACAAUGGGCGCAAGCCUGAUCCAGCAAUG